UGCUCACAGUGUGUGUAGCCUGCUUGGGAUUCUUUCUCUCUUUCUCUCUCGCCCUCUCUUCUUCCUCUCAAAGUAAGAUUAAAAACAAUCUCACGGGAUCGUAAGGGCUCAGAGAGUUAGCUGUCGUAAAUUGCUUGUUUCUCUGUCUACCUGGUUUACAUUAGUCUAACAGCAUUCCUGCUGCCUCACACCCUCCCUCCCCCUACGGGGCCUUAGCACAUGCUCUUCCCUGUGCUAGGAUGCUGGUCCCUUUCCUCUAUGGCUACUUAGUGGCUAUCGGUCCUUCAGGGGCUCCAGCCUUUGUGAGGGCAGGAUCACUUUUGCUCUCCACUGUGGCCCUGACAGCCAGCAACACACGUAUGUCUGGCAUAGAGUUGACUUCCGUUAAAUAUCCGUUCACGGAGUGAGUGAAGGACUAAAUGGACAAAGGAGACAAGUGAUCAGUUAGUGCUAAGUCAUUCGACAAGUGUUCUGUGAAUAAGCACGAGACCUACUCUAUUGUAUCCUCGUGAGGAUUAAAAAUGUGAAGCGUGUACAAUACCUACCCGAAGCCUGCAGUACCACUGACUAAGGAUUGCUCGUAGCACUAUUUUAUAUUGUCAUGAUUUCGGUUUCCUGCAGAUGUUCUCAUGGCUUCCUGCUGGAAUGAGGCUCUGGUAGGAUGCUCCUCCGGGCCCUGCAGAGCCCCACCCAACAGCUGGGUCCUGUGCUCAGGCAAGCAGCCUCAGCCCUUCCCCAGAGGCAGGACUCGGUCUCGUCCCGAGGAAACAAAUUCCUGGCUGCUGGCACAGCUUCUGCAACUUGGCUCCCAUCUCUCUGUGGAUUGUCUCCUUCAGAUGAAAAAAACCGAAGUUCCAACGAACGAAACAACACUGGACUUUUUGAUGGGGGAGACUGGCCUUCAACCCAGAGGCCAGCCUCCAGAGCCCUUGGUCUUAACCACCGUGCUUCACACCUGCUUAUAGUCAACUGGAACAUAAAACAGAAGAAAUAAAGGCUUUCGCUUGGUCGAAGGAGUUCACGCAUGUGGUCUUGGCUCCCCCAGCUCCACUCCAGCCACACUGACCUCCUCCCUGCUGCCCCGACUCACCACCUUGGUCCCUCCCCUGGGCUCUAGUGUGACCUGUAACCUCUAUCACAGAAGCUUCCUGGUGGAGGUGAAGUCUGGCAGGUGUGUAGGUGUAGGUGUAUGUGAGCCUAGGAGGGUGAGAAGGGUUUCAGAGGAAAGGUGUGUAUGUGGGCAGGAGAGGUGGAGGGCGGGGAAGUGGGGUGGGGGGCGGUGGAGAAGGAAGGGCACACUGGGAUUUGCCUUUCCCUAGCUCACUCAGUCUUUCGGACUGGCACUUUGCUCCUCCUGGCUUGCCAUCUGGUUUGGCUACCGGUGGCCUUCAGGUUCACUUCCAUUCAAUAAUUUUUUGUUUAAUUAUGUCUUUUUC